rnacentral:rRNA from 1 species
GACAGAGGGUGCAACGUUGUUCGGAAUUACUGGGCGUAAAGCGCGUGUAGGCGGCUGCGCAAGUCGGAUGUGAAGGCCCAUGGCUCAACCGAUGGAAGUGCACCCGAAACUGCGUAGCUAGAGUCUCGGAGAGGAAGGUGGAAUGCUUGGUGUAGAGGUAGAAAUUCGUAGAUAUCAAGCAGAACACCGGUGGCGAAGGCGGCCUUCUGGA